rnacentral:rRNA from 1 species
GACGAACGCUGGCGGCGUGCUUAACACAUGCAAGUCGAACGCUGAAGCUCAGCUUUUGUUGGGUGGAUGAGUGGCGAACGGGUGAGUAACACGUGAGUAACCUGCCCUCUUCUUUGGGAUAACGCCCGGAAACGGGUGCUAAUACUGGAUAUUCACUUGCCUUCGCAUGGGGGUUGGUGGAAAGGUUUGUUCUGGUGGGGGAUGGGCUCGCGGCCUAUCAGCUUGUUGGUGGGGUGAUGGCCUACCAAGGCUUUGACGGGUAGCCGGCCUGAGAGGGUGACCGGUCACAUUGGGACUGAGAUACGGCCCAGACUCCUACGGGAGGCAGCAGUGGGGAAUAUUGCACAAUGGGCGCAAGCCUGAUGCAGCGACGCCGCGUGAGGGAUGGAGGCCUUCGGGUUGUAAACCUCUUUCGCUCAUGGUCAAGCCGCGACGUGGGUUGUGGUGAGGGUAGUGGGUAAAGAAGCGCCGGCUAACUACGUGCCAGCAGCCGCGGUAAUACGUAGGGCGCGAGCGUUGUCCGGAAUUAUUGGGCGUAAAGGGCUUGUAGGCGGUUGGUCGCGUCUGCCGUGAAAUUCUCUGGCUUAACUGGGGGCGUGCGGUGGGUACGGGCUGACUUGAGUGCGGUAGGGGAGACUGGAACUCCUGGUGUAGCGGUGGAAUGCGCAGAUAUCAGGGAAGAACACCGGGUGGCGAAGGCGGGUCUCUGGGCCGUUACUGACGCUGAGGAGCGAAAGCGUGGGGGAGCGAACAGG